AUUGGGAAAUGAUGUAAGUUACCACAAGUUAUCAAAGGCAUAACCUAUGCUGAAUGUGUUUAUUUGCACGUCAGUCUGAUCCCAAU